rnacentral:rRNA from 1 species
UAGGUGAACCUGCGGAAGGAUCAUUAAUGAACUCUCGAGGGACGCAGUUGCUGCUGGGCUUCUUGAAAGUCAACGUGCACACGGUCUUUCUUCUCGUUCAACCAAUCUACCCCUAUCUGUGCACCCCUCGUGAGCUGAGAACUCUCUCGGCUCAUGUCCUUUCCACAAAACACCUCCCCUAAAUCAGUGAAUGCGCAGCCGUCUGAGCUUCGUCUCGACGUUAACAGAAACACACAACUUUCAACAACGGAUCUCUUGGCUCUCGCAUCGAUGAAGAACGCAGCGAAAUGCGAUAAGUAAUGUGAAUUGCAGAAUUCAGUGAAUCAUCGAAUCUUUGAACGCACCUUGCGCCCCUUGGUACUCCGGGGGGCAUGCCUGUUUGAGUGUCAUCAGAUCAUCAACCCGAAGGGCUUUCGAGGCCCGUCGGAGUUUGGAGCUUGCGGCGUGCGGGGGAGGCCUUCGCGGGUCCCCUCCGCUCCUCGCGGAAUACAUCAGCGGAUGUCCACCGGCGGACUGACCUUGGCGUGAUAAACAUCUGCGUCUUGGCUUGGGCCCGCAUCUUAUUGGCUUCUGCUUCGAACCGUUCGCUCGGCUCAACGCCGUGCGACAACCCGUUGAUAACUUUGACCUCAA